rnacentral:rRNA from 1 species
UACCAGACUCCUACGGGAGGCAGCAGUGAGGAAUAUUGGUCAAUGGGCGGAAGCCUGAACCAGCCAAGUCGCGUGAGGGAAUAAGGCCCUACGGGUCGUAAACCUCUUUUGCCGGGGAGCAAGGGCGGGGACGUGUCCCGGCCCGGAGAGUACCCGGAGAAAAAGCAUCGGCUAACUCCGUGCCAGCAGCCGCGGUAAUACGGAGGAUGCGAGCGUUAUCCGGAUUUAUUGGGUUUAAAGGGUGCGUAGGCGGCAUUAUAAGUUAGUGGUAAAAUAUUGGGGCUUCACCUCACUACGCCAUUAAUACUGUAGAGCUAGAGAACAGACGAGGUAGGCGGAAUAAGUUAAGUAGCGGUGAAAUGCAUAGAUAUAACUUAGAACACCGAUAGCGAAGGCAGCUUACCAGACUGAGUCUGACGCUGAUGCACGAGAGCAUGGGUAGCGAACAGGAUUAGAUACCCCCGUAGGC